UCAGAGUUUGUCAGGCUCAGGAUGAACGCUAGCUACAGGCUUAACACAUGCAAGUCGAGGGGAAACGACAUCGAAAGCUUGCUUUUGAUGGGCGUCGACCGGCGCACGGGUGAGUAACGCGUAUCCAACCUGCCCAUCACUUGGGGAUAACCUUGCGAAAGUAAGACUAAUACCCAAUGACGUCUCUAGAAGACAUCUGAAAGAGAUUAAAGAUUUAUCGGUGAUGGAUGGGGAUGCGUCUGAUUAGCUUGUUGGCGGGGUAACGGCCACCAAGGCGACGAUCAGUAGGGGUUCUGAGAGGAAGGUCCCCCACAUUGGAACUGAGACACGGUCCAAACUCCUACGGGAGGCA
rnacentral:rRNA from 1 species